rnacentral:rRNA from 1 species
UACGGGGGGAGCAAGCGUUGUUCGGAUUUACUGGGCGUAAAGGGCGCGUAGGCGGCGUGGUAAGUCACUUGUGAAAUCUCUGAGCUCAACUCAGAACGGCCAAGUGAUACUGCUGUGCUAGAGUGCAGAAGGGGCAAUCGGAAUUCUUGGUGUAGCGGUGAAAUGCGUAGAUAUCAAGAGGAACACCUGAGGUGAAGACGGGUUGCUGGGCUGACACUGACGCUGAGGCGCGAAAGCCAGGGGAGCAAACGGG